rnacentral:piRNA from 1 species
UUGCUAUUAUAAAUAAGGCUGC